GACGAAAGCUGGCGGCGUGCUUAACACAUGCAAGUCGAACGAAGUGGCGAACGGGUGAGUAACGCGUAAUCAAACUGCCCUUCAGAGGGGGACAACAGUUGGCAACGACUGCUAAUACCACAUAAUGAAGGAGGGGAUGGAGUCUGAUUAGCUAGUUGGAGGGGUAACGGCCCACCAAGGCGAUGAUCAGUAGCCGGUCUGAGAGAAUGAACGGCCACAUUGGGACUGAGACACGGCCCAGACUCCUACGGGAGGCAGCAGUGGGGAUUCUUCCGCAAUGGACGAAAGUCUGACGGAGCAACGCCGCGUGAGGGAUGACGGCCUUCGGGUUGUAAGGCUCUGUUAAUCGGGACGCGGUACCUGAAUAGAAAGCCACGGCUAACUACGUGCCAGCAGCCGCGGUAAUAC
rnacentral:rRNA from 1 species